rnacentral:rRNA from 1 species
GUAUGGUGCAAGCGUUAUCCGGAUUUACUGGGUGUAAAGGGAGCGCAGGCGGUGCGGCAAGUCUGAUGUGAAAGCCCGGGGCUUAACCCCGGUACUGCAUUGGAAACUGUCGUACUAGAGUGUCGGAGGGGUAAGCGGAAUCCCUAGUGUAGCGGUGAAAUGCGUAGAUAUUAGGAGGAACACCAGUGGCGAAGGCGGCCUGCUGGACUGUUACUGACACUGAGGCACGAAAGCGUGGGGAGCAAACAGGAUUAGAUACCCUGAUAGUCCACGCCGUAAACGAUGAAUACUAGGUGUCGGGGCCGUAUAGGCUUCGGUGCCGCCGCAAACGCAGUAAGUAUUCCACCUGGGGAGU